rnacentral:rRNA from 1 species
CUACGGAGGGUGCAAGCGUUAUUCGGAAUCACUAGGCGUAAAGGACGCGUAGGCGGGUUGGCAAGUCAGAUGUGAAAUCCUACAGCUUAACUGUAGAACUGCAUUUGAAACUGCUAACCUAGAGUAUGGGAGGGGGAGAUGGAAUUAGUGGUGUAGGGGUAAAAUCCGUAGAUAUCACUAGGAAUACCGAAAGCGAAGGCGAUCUCCUGGAACAUAACUGACGCUAAGGCGUGAAAGCGUGGGGAGCAAACAGGAUUAGAUACCCUAGUAGUCC